UACGUAGGGUGCGAGCGUUGUCCGGAUUUAUUGGGCGUAAAGAGCUCGUAGGCGGUCUGUCGCGUCGACUGUGAAAGCCCAGGGCUCAACCCUGGGUCUGCAUUCGAUACGGGCAGACUAGAGUAUGGCAGGGGAGACUGGAAUUCCUGGUGUAGCGGUGAAAUGCGCAGAUAUCAGGAGGAACACCGGUGGCGAAGGCGGGUCUCUGGGCCAAAACUGACGCUGAGGAGCGAAAGCGUGGGGAGCGAACAGG
rnacentral:rRNA from 1 species